AAGAACCCUUUGGUUUCUGUGAGGAUCAAAGCACCUGUGGGAGGAGGAGGGGUCAAGUUUGAUCAGGAACAGAAGAUGAGGCACCAGAUGGCAGAAGCAAGCAAACUACAUCAACAAGACAGCUAAGAAGAAAAAGCCACAAUACAGCAUCAAGGAGCAGCAAAUAUCCAGCCCAGCACUGCUUGUGAAUAGGACUUCACUGAGACUUCAGCAUCAUUGAUUUCUAAGCAUCUGGCUGUGGGAGGAGUCAUGACAUCUGUACACCUGCCAG